CGGACGGGUGAGUAAUGUCUGGGAAACUGCCUGAUGGAGGGGGAUAACUACUGGAAACGGCAGCUAAUACCGCAUAACGUCGCAAGACCAAAGAGGGGGACCUUCGGGCCUCUUGCCAUCGGAUGUGCCCAGAUGGGAUUAGCUAGUAGGUGGGGUAACGGCUCACCUAGGCGACGAUCCCUAGCUGGUCUGAGAGGAUGACCAGCCACACUGGAACUGAGACACGGUCCAG
rnacentral:rRNA from 1 species